ACCUGCGGAGGGAUCAUUACUGAGUACUACACUCUCUACCCUUUGUGAACUAUUAUACCUGUUGCUUCGGCGGCGCCCGCAAGGGUGCCCGCCGGUCUCAUCAGAAUCUCUGUUUUCGAACCCGACGAUACUUCUGAGUGUUCUUAGCGAACUGUCAAAACUUUUAACAACGGAUCUCUUGGCUCCAGCAUCGAUGAAGAACGCAGCGAAACGCGAUAUGUAAUGUGAAUUGCAGAAUUCAGUGAAUCAUCGAAUCUUUGAACGCACAUGGCGCCUUCCAGUAUCCUGGGAGGCAUGCCUGUCCGAGCGUCGUUUCAACCCUCGAGCCCCUGUGGCCCGGCGUUGGGGAUCUGCCACGGCAGGCCCCUAAAACCAGUGGCGGACCCGAAGGCCCUCUCCUUUGCGCAGUAGCAUCAGCCUCGCAUUGGGAUCCCUCGGCGUCCUGCCUCUAAACCCCCCACAAGUCCGCUCCGGCGGCACCAAGGUUGACCUCGGAUCAGGUAGGAAUACCCGCUGAACUUAAGCAUAUCAAUAAGCGGAGGAA
rnacentral:rRNA from 1 species